UUCUGCAGCCGUAUCCUCUCGGGCUGCAAUCUUGUUAGAUCUCACCAGAUAAACAGGGUCAAGCCGGGUUAGCCUGUGGAUGGGAGACCUCCCAAGAAAAACCCAGGGUGUUUCAGGAA
rnacentral:rRNA from 1 species